CGGUUUUAAAGCCGUCAGUCAGAGAGAUCUGAAGAAUUUACACUUUUCGAAGGUUCAGCAUUUUCCAACUCGUAAAACCGAAUUAUCAAAAUGAACUUUCCUGUUUCAUCAAUUGUUAGAAUGAUCUACAUGAUCGUUAUAAUGAUUGCAAUGAGUGCAACAUUCAUUCCUGGUGUCCUGGGAGCCUUUAGGCCUGAAGGUGAAGGUCCGGAUAAACAGCAUGAAUUCCAAG